GUCACCGGUCAUUGGUCAUCGCCCAAAUAUUCGGUGAGAAAAAUAAACCCAGAAAUUUCUAAAAAGUUAAUAAGGAGAAUAACGAUUUACGAUGCCGUUAACGAACGAACAUUCCACCACAACAGAUGGAAACGGUGAAGAAAAUACGAACUUAUGGCAAAGUAUUUUAAACGACGUCCAAAAACACGGAAACCCAAAGUUGAACCCCAACAAGCAAAUCGUAGUCUUGGGAGACAAUGAAAGUGGAAAAACAACGAUGGUUGCAAAAUUGCAAGGGAUAGAGAAUUCAAGCAAAGGAUCAGGACUUGAGUAUGCUUACAUUAAUGUAAGGGAUGAUUAUCGAGAUGACCAUACAAGAUUGAGUGUCUGGGUUUUAGAUGGUGAUCCAGCUCAUGCAGAUCUACUGAAAUUUGCUUUAAAUGAGGAAACUUUUCAGGAUACUUUAAUAAUUCUCACAGUAUCAAUGACAACUCCAUGGGGCAUUUUGGAGCAAUUACAACAUUGGGCUUCAGUUUUAGCUGAUCAUCUUGACAAACUGAAGCUUGAUAUCGAUUUUAGGCAAAAUAGAAAGCAAUUAAUUAUUAAAAAAUGGCUGGAGUAUAUUGAACCCGGUGAUGAGCUAGAUCCUGCUUCUCCAAUGAAAAGAAGCUCCAGAAAUCUGGGAGACGAUGAUGGAGAUGACAUUGAUAGUAGUGCAUUACCGGAUGGCACAUUAACUUGUAAUUUAGGAUUGGAUAUAGUGGUUGUUGUUACUAAAACUGAUUAUAUUCAAACUUUAGAGAAAGAACAUGAUUAUAGGGAUGAACACUUGGACUUCAUGCAGCAGUGGAUUAGGAAAUUUUGUAUACAAUAUGGAGCUGCUUUGUUCUAUACUAGUGCUAAGGAAGAUAAGAAUUGUGAUCUGCUUUAUAAGUACUUAACUCACAGGAUUUAUGGAUUUCCCUUUCAUACUCCUGCUCUGGUUGUUGAAAAAGAUGCAGUUUUUAUUCCAGCUGGCUGGGACAAUUUGAAGAAAAUCAGUAUAUUGUAUGAAAAUAUGCAUUCAUGUAAGCCUGAAGAUUAUUAUAGAGAUGUAAUUGUACAACCUACAACUCGAAAGGCUAUUAAUAGAGAAACAGAACUUGUGGCAGAAGAUGAACAAACAUUCCUAGCCAGAUUGCAACAGAAUUCCUUUGGGGGUCCAGCCGUUCCUGGUAUUCGUAUAAAUGAGACGGCAAUGAGGCAAGGACCUAUGGGAGGUAUCCAAGCUUCUCCAAGAAAGUUAGAUGGGUCUAAAGUGGUAAAUUCGCCAGGCGGAGAGGGUGUUCUCGCUAAUUUCUUUAACUCGCUUCUUUAUAAGAAGACCGGAUCGCCUAAUACAUCAUUGGCAAACAAGUCGGGAGCAGAAUCGUUACCUGAUAAGGCGACGAUGCGUUCUGACGCACAAGCGGAACUUGACAGAUUGGCGAGGAAAAAACCAGCGGCGCCGCCCAGUACCGGUUCGACGCCUAACAGCAGUGGUGUCGAUUUCGAUGCCUCGGAUUGUUAAGUAAAUUAAUAAUCUACAAUAUUUUUUCGUACGAAUAAGGAGAGUUCUUAAAUUGAAAUUAUUCAGUUAACCAUAAUUAGUCAAUAGGAGAAAUAUUUUUAACAAAAUCAAAAUUAGUAAUGGAACAAGAAGGAGACCCUUUUGGAAACGAAUUUCAGUUAUAUUGCGAACGAGGGUAUUUUUUACAAAUGAAUUGUAAUGGUGUAGUAUCAGGAACUGAUGAAGAAGGAGAUCCAUAUACAUACUUUGUGAGGUUAUCUGGCGGUGACGCCGGUUUAGUCAGGUUUAAAGGACUAGAAUCUCAGUUUUAUCUCUGUUUUAACGAUAACGGAAAAUUAUAUGGCGAG
rnacentral:misc_RNA from 1 species